CAAUAGCGUAUACUAAAGUUGUUGCGGUUAAAAAGCUCGUAGUUGGAUCUUGGAGCGUGUGCUUGCGGUCACAUUUCGGUGUGUACUGCUUGACGUGUUCUUCUAUUUGGUUGCGCGUGUGUGUGCUCUUAACUGAGUGCCGCAUUCGACCGAAACGUUUACCUUGAAAAAAUUAGAGUGUUCAAAGCAGACCUUUUUGUGUCUGAAUAUUCGUGCAUGGAAUAAUGAAAUAUGAAUUCGGUUCUAUUUUGUUGGUUUUCGGAACUCGAGUUAAUGAUUAAGAGGGACAGACGGGGGCAUUCGUACUCUGCCGUUAGAGGUGAAAUUCUUGGAUCGGCGGAAGACGCGCAACUGCGAAAGCAUUUGCCAAGAAUGUUUUCUUUAAUCAAGAACGAUAGUCGGAGGUUCGAAGACGAUCAGAUACCAU
rnacentral:rRNA from 1 species